rnacentral:rRNA from 1 species
GCAGCAGUUAGGAAUCUUCCGCAAUGGACGGAAGUCUGACGGAGCGACGCCGCUUGGAGGAGGAAGCCCUUCGGGGUGUAAACUCCUGAACUGGGGACGAAAGCCCCGUGUAGGGGGAUGACGGUACCCAGGUAAUAGCGCCGGCCAACUCCGUGCCAGCAGCCGCGGUAAUACGGAGGGCGCGAGCGUUACCCGGAUUUACUGGGCGUAAAGGGCGUGUAGGCGGCCUGGGGCGUCCCAUGUGAAAGGCCACGGCUCAACCGUGGAGGAGCGUGGGAUACGCUCAGGCUAGAGGGUGGGAGAGGGUGGUGGAAUUCCCGGAGUAGCGGUGAAAUGCGCAGAUACCGGGAGGAACGCCGAUGGCGAAGGCAGCCACCUGGUCCACUUCUGACGCUGAGGCGCGAAAGCGUGGGGAGCAAACCGGAUUAGAUACCCGGGUAGUCCACGCCCUAAACGAUGCGCGCUAGGUCUUUGGGGUUUACCUGGGGGCCGAAGCCAACGCGU